AACGAACGCUGGCGGCGUGCCUAACACAUGCAAGUCGAGCGCGAAAAGGGCAACCUGAGUAGAGCGGCGCACGGGUGCGUAACACGUGGGUAAUCUGCCUCAAAGUUUGGGAUAACCUUCCGAAAGGUUGGCUAAUACCGGAUAAGCUCACGAGGUCUUCGGACUUUGUGGGAAAAGGUGGCCUCUAUUUAUAAGCCAUCACUUUGAGAUGAGCCCGCGGCCCAUCAGCUAG
rnacentral:rRNA from 1 species